AGGAGCCGUAUGAAGUGAAAAUCUCAUGUACAGUUCUGUAAAGUGGCAGUAAAGGUGAAUUUUCAAGUUUAAAACAACAUACUUUCAAAUUUUCAU
rfam:Gossypium raimondii chromosome 3, whole genome shotgun sequence.